AGGACUAACGCUGGCGGCGUGCCUAACACAUGCAAGUCGAACGAGGUAGCAAUACCUAGUGGCAGACGGGUGAGUAACGCGUGGUCAACCUACCCUUGAGUGGGGGAUAACCUAGGGAAACCUGGGCUAAUACCACAUAAUACCUUCGGGUCAAAGGAGCAAUUCGCUUAAGGAGGGGGUCGCGGCCGAUUAGUUAGUUGCGGGGUAAUGGCCCACCAAGACGAUGAUCGGUAUCCGG
rnacentral:rRNA from 1 species